rnacentral:rRNA from 1 species
GACGAACGCUGGCGGCGUGCUUAACACACGCAAGUCGAACGGAGAGGCCCUGCUUUUGUGGGGUGCUCGAGUGGCGAACGGGUGAGUAACACGUGAGUAACCUGCCCUUGACUUUGGGAUAACUUCAGGAAACUGGGGCUAAUACCGGAUAGGAGCUCCUGCUGCAUGGUGGGGGUUGGAAAGUUUCGGCGGUUGGGGAUGGACUCGCGGCUUAUCAGCUUGUUGGUGGGGUAGUGGCUUACCAAGGCUUUGACGGGUAGCCGGCCUGAGAGGGUGACCGGCCACAUUGGGACUGAGAUACGGCCCAGACUCCUACGGGAGGCAGCAGUGGGGAAUAUUGCACAAUGGGCGGAAGCCUGAUGCAGCAACGCCGCGUGCGGGAUGACGGCCUUCGGGUUGUAAACCGCUUUCGCCUGUGACGAAGCGUGAGUGACGGUAAUGGGUAAAGAAGCACCGGCUAACUACGUG